UCCCUCUGCCCAACCCCCGAAUCCUCCCCUGCCCCACUCCACACAGCUCUCUCUACCCUGUCCCAUUCAUGCUCCCCUCAGCCCCUACCCUGCUCCCCCGUCCCAGUCCUGUCCUGUCUCCCUCAGCCCCCACCCUGCUCCCCCGUCCCAGUCGGGUCCCCCUCAGUUCCUCCACCCUGCUUCCCCCGGCCCAUCCCCACACACCCACCGACACCCUCAACCUCCCUGCACCCCAAUCCCGCUGCCUGCACCCACCCCCGUCCCACUCAGGACAUGCAGGAAAAGCCCCCAGAGACCAUGACCCUCCCCCCCACCGGGGACGUGCACCUACCCCAGGGGAUCAGCAGGCUCUGGCCCCCCAGGCUGCUGUGCUGCACCCGGCAGGCGUAGCUGUGCCCGGCGCCCGGCUCCACGCCCAGGGAGCUGCGCAGCUGGUAGGUCAGGUCCGCGUUGGGCAGGAUCCCGCUGGAGUUCAGCCACCAGCCCGGCACCACCUCCUCCCCGUCCUGCAGCCAGGCCACGCGGACGGGCCGGGGGUAGAAACCGGUAACCCGGCAAACCAGCAGUACCGGCGCGGGGGUCCCGGCUGGGGGAGGCGCUCGGGCAAACACCACGGCGACCGGCCGCUCUGAGACAGGAGGAGAGAGACGGGGCGGGAGAGAGGGGACAAUUCAGCCUGAGCCUCAGGGACUCACUAGCCAAGCCCAGCUCCGCUCCCCGGGGUCAGGCGUUGGCCCCACUGUCCUGGCCAGACGCCAAUUCUGCCCCCUGCAGUUACCAGUGGUGACAGAUCCCCCUUCACUUCCUGUCCUAAACUGCUGGGCAGUGCGGCUAUGAACAGCUAAUGUGCUGCACCCCAGCUAUAGCUGCAUUUGUACUCCAGGCAAGGGGGCCCUGGAUAACCAGCCCCCUGCCCCACCCCAGAGGUGGCUGCACAUGAGCACUGGGUGCGGGAUCCGUGUGUAAACAGCAAACACGCCCUACCCCAGAGGUGGCUGCAUGCAGUGAGCUUAGUGGUGUCCUGCCUCACCUUGCCUCGCCAGAGACUCAUUCCCAUGCUGGACAAAGCUCUUGAUCUGAUUGACACACGUUGUUCUCAGGAGAAACUGAAGCGUGAUGGCCACAACCUUGUUGUAGUUAAGAAUCUCCCGGGCUUUGAGCGUCAGUUUAUUCCCCUGCCGAGUGACCCAUUUGCCGCUGUCCGUGUCAAAGCUGACAAAGUCCUCGCCGUUCAUCCCAGCAUCACAGAAUCGCCUCGAGGAGCCGUUGGGGUGCAGCUCGCAGCCGAUGGAGAACUGGCCAGUGCCUUCACCAGACGGAUGAAGUCAGACAGGUAGCGAUAGAUCAGCUCCUCCAGGUCCUGCCACUCCUUCGGGGUCAGGCCCUGCCGGGCCCAGGGCUGCAGGAAGCAGAUCUUGCAGGUGCUGCAGGCCAGGGAGUGGGUCUCCAGGUCGCCCAGCAGGGCCGUCCCCUCCAUGUCCGUGGAGCUGGCAUUGUGGAAGAUGAUGGUUUGGAGCACCCGGAGGCUCUAGCAAUAGACAAGACUUGUUUGCUGACAUCCCAAGACCUGAGGAAACAUCUCCCCUUCUACCCCUAACAAUGCCGGCUGCAUUUCAAAGCUCUGUUCCAGGGGUUGGCAUCCUUUCAGAAAUGCUGUGCCGAGUCUUCAUUUAGUCACUCUGAUUUAAGGUUUUGCGUGCCAGCCAUACAUUUUAACAUUUUUAGAAGGUCUUUGUCUAUAAGUCUAUAAUAUAGAACUAAACUAUU